AUUCAGUUCAUAAAUUAAAAGGUACAGUGGAGGGUUCGCUUUUCUCUUAGGAUAGUGAAUGAUCCCAACCACAGCUCUGCAACUCACUGGCUUCAAAGAGGAAAGUUAGUUGGGGCGGGCAGGGGCACUCAUGUUGUAUCUGCAGAGCCUUCCUAAAGAGGAUGUGUCUUUUCUGGAGAUGGCUGCCCCAUAAGGAGAUGCCAAGUGACAUGACUGGAGCGCCCCAGCACAUUAUCAUCUUUCCUCUGUCGAAUCCAGGUUACUUGUGUAGCUCCACAGUAUAGAGAUAAUUGAAGAACAGAACUGGGAUCUUGGAGGUAUUAACAGAGUUGGAAGAGACCUUAUAGGUCAUCUAGUCCAACCCCCUGCUCAAGCAGAAGACCCUACACCAUUUCUGACAGAUGACAGUCAGGUCUCUUCUUGAAAGCUUCCAAAGACGAAGCUCCCACAACUUCCGAAGGCAAGGCUGUUCCAUUGGUUGAUUGCUCUCACUCUCAGAAAUUUUUUCCUUAUUUCCAGGUUGAAUCACUCCUUGUUCAGUUUCCAUACAUUAUUCCUUGUCUGGCCUUCAGGUACUUUGGAAAAUAGCUUGACCCCCUCCUCUCUGUAGCAGUCCCUGAAAUACUGGAACAUUGCUAUCAUGUCUCCCCUGGUCCUUCUCUUCACUAGACUAGCCAUGCCUAGUUUCUGUAACUGUUCAUCUGUAAUUGUUCAUCAUAUGUUUUAGCCUCCAGUCCCCUAAAUGCUCCCGGUUUGGACUGGAUCACCCGAUCCGGUAGCAAUCUUGGCCAGUGGUUCAGACAACUGAUAGCAAUCAUGGUGCGAGGCUCCGCCCACUGGUCCGGCUGCCAUUACUUCCUGGUUUUAACCAGGAAGUAAUGUGUUUUGUACCCUCUGCGCAUUCACAGAAAGGUUUUGCGCAUGUGCAGAGGGUGAAGCAAGCGCAGGUGGCGCAUGCACUUCCGAACUGGCAAGGAAGAUAAGUAGAUUUCACCCCUGCUCCUAAUCAUCCUAGUUGCUCUUCUCUGCACUCUUUCUAGAGUCUCAACAUCUUUUUUAAUAGUAUGGUGACCAAAACUGGAUGCAGUAUUCUAGGUGUGGUCUUACUAAGGCUUUAUAGAGUGGUAUUAGUACCUUACUUGAUCUUGACUGCACCCUUCUGUUAAUGUAAUUUAGGAUUGCAUUGGCUUUUUUGGCUGCCGCCACACACUGUUGGCUCAUAUUUAAUUGGUUGCCCACUAAGACUCCAACAGUUGGAAGGGACCUCGAGCUCAAGCAGGAGACCCUAUAUCAUUGCAGACAAAUGGUUGUCCAAUCACUUCUUAAAAAACUCCAGUGUUUGAGCACCCACAACCUCUGGAGGCAAGUUGUUCUACUGAUUAAUUGUUCUUAAUUGUCAGGAAAUUUCUCCUUAGUUUGUACUAGAUUUUAACUUCAAUAAAAUUUUAUAUAAAAAAUUGCAUAAGUAUGAAAUACUAAUAUUGUGCCGAUAUGGGAUCUGUGUAUACACCAGUACUGAUGUAGAUGUCAGAAUUACCUAAAGGUUAGCAACAAGACUUCAGUUAUUCCUGUUAUUCAUUAAAAAUUAAACCUGGGCUAGAUGUAUUUUUUAAAAAAAAGCAAUCUAAAAGGAAGUUAUCAGAUGUAAUGUCUGCUCUUCCAGUGAUGUUUGCAUUUUAUCACAAUGUAUAUUGGGUAGUUGUUGGAUGAAAGUAAAUUAAAAUGAUCUGUGGUAAUAGUUUGCAGCCAACUUCUAUCUGUCAUCAGCCUGAAGCAACUACAAUAGGAGAGAGGGCUGCUGCCUCAAGUUAAAACAUUUUAUGUGAAAAUAUGUCCUGGGACAAAAAUUAACCACAGUGGGUGAUUUUAAUAUCUUAAAUUCUCUCCUUUUUUUCUCACAGCAUUUGUCAAACAUAUCAUGGCAAGCUGAGCUGGGGUCUAUGAGCAGGGCUGCUCAAGAUGCUGUCUUCAGGUACAACUCCUCAGCCUACAGUCCUUAAUGGCCAUCACUUUCCCCUUUUUUCUACCUUUGCACACAUACAAUCUGCAACCCAGCCAUUUUUCCCGGUGUAGACUGUAAAGAUAUUUUUAUGAAUACUGAAUUGGUGAAACAUCAAUCAGUACAUCAGUCAGUGAUCAUCUAUGGAACCAGAAGGGAGCAGUAGCAGCAGCAGCAAAUUUCACAGUUUUUGUGUGAAGAAAUCCACUAGCUUAAAUCACGUGAUUCUACAAACUACUCAUUUUUCUAAACAAUAAAGUUUUUGAUUUUCA